UGAAGUACUUUAUUCAGCUUUUUGCACUUUUAAUUUUGCUUGAACAAGUCACCAACCUUUUGACGUGAAGGUACAUAUUUGUGAUACCCACCCCCAGUUACUCAGUUGGUCACCUGUCCAAGUGGCUACUAGCUCUGUUCAUAGUCUUUUGACCAUUGGAACAAUUUUCAAUUUGUGCUUUUGAAGUCUAAGCCUUUGUGAAUUUCUUUCUCUCAAUGAUUUGGGCAAAUCAACACCAAUUGCUAAAUCAAGUAAUGUUAAGUUCAUUCACACAAUUUCAAUUUAUUCUCUCAAUUGAGGGUCAUCAAUAUAUUUUUCACCAUGGCAAACUCAAAAAUUCAAUUCAAA
rnacentral:lncRNA from 1 species